rnacentral:lncRNA from 1 species
AUCAGGGUUAAACCAAUCAUGAGCCCAACUCAAUUUGGGUCGAACCCAAUUUGAUUUGGCUCAUCAAAUCAGCCCAAUUUGCAAUCUAAUUGCAAUCAAUUCCACUUAAUUCUUCUUCCAUUAACUCAUUAACAUUUAGUGGGUUAAUUCAAUCACCAAUCAUAUUGAUAAUUGACAUCAAUUGUGAUUCUCAAUCACAAUUACGAUAAUUUGACUAAUCAAAUCCUUUAUGUGUGCGAUCCUGUAGGUUCUAUUCUGUCUGGUAGUAAGACAUAUUGAGAUCUCCAUCUCAAUAUCACUGAAAUUCCUUUUAGUGGACUGAAACAAUUUCAGUUCUACUCUUAGGGUUUACUAAUCAUCAAGUGAAUGCCUUCAAGUCUCACAAUCCACUAGUGACACCUAGCAGUAUGUGGUGGCAACCCAGCAGAAUGGAAUGUCUAAACCUCUUAGUGCAGUUAGCGCAUGAUACAGUCCUUUUAUCAUGGAUCCCGACAUGACAGAGGUUAUGGAUAACUCGUCAAACUCCAUCGUCCGUCAUAUGUCAAAUUUAUUCGACUUCUUGUUCGAGAUAUGAAAAACUUUUUUUCCAAAAUAUCUGGCUAGGAAUUUAUCGAACUGAGUCUCAUAAAUCACGUAGGAUCACUCUUAAUCUAUCAAGAUCGAUAGAUCCAAUUUAGAUGCAACCCUAUUCCAAAAUGAACCUACUAUAGCCAAUCCGCACCAC